CACCUGUGAGACAGGAGAGCAGCAGGGAUCAUCGGAAGGGACUGUGAAUACCCACAGACCCAGGGCCCCUCGGGUCUUUCUGCUUGCUGAGCUGACUGCCUCCGCUCCAUGACCCACAAGACUACCUCUAGCUCACGGGACAUGCAAUGUGCACAAACAGACUCCAGGAGUGUGAGGAUCACUGAGAGUUCACACCAUGGAGCAAUCACACUGUCCUGAGCCCUUUGCUAAGCUGCCUGCUUUUUCCACCCAACAGCCCUAAGAGCUGGAGCAACCAGCCAAUAAACGGCCACAACCCCGGUGACCGGCGCCAACCUAGACCAAUAGAUA